UACGUAGGGAGCGAGCGUUGUCCGGAUUCAUUGGGCGUAAAGAGCUCGUAGGCGGCUUGAUAAGUCGGAUGUGAAACCUCCAGGCUCAACCUGGAGUCGCCAUCCGAUACUGCCAUGGCUAGAGUCCGGUAGGGGCCCACGGAAUUCCUGGUGUAGCGGUGAAAUGCGUAGAUAUCAGGAGGAACACCGGUGGUGUAAACGGCUUUCUGGACCAUAACUGACGCUGAGGCACGAAAGCGUGGGUAGCAAACAGG
rnacentral:rRNA from 1 species